rnacentral:lncRNA from 1 species
GGAACUUCCUGUCCCUGAACAUCAGACUCCAGAUUCUUCAGCCUUUGCACUCUUGGACUUACACCAGUGGUUUGCCAGGGGCUCUUGAGCCUUUGGCCACAGACGGAAGACCACACAGUUGGCUUCCCUAAUUUUGAGGCUGUGGGACUCAGACUGAGCCACUACUGGCUUCCUUGCUCCUCAGCCUGCAAAUGACCUAUUGUGGGAUUUCUUUACCUUGUGAUCCUAGUCUCUCUCUAUCUGCUGAGCUGCCUGAAGCUAGACAUAAACACCUCUGUGGCCACUACCACUGAGACUGCACUGGGUCAGAACUGAAGCCAACACAGCACUUGGUCUCACCCAAAGCCCAGUGUAACCACUACCUGGCUACUGCUUCUGUUUGCUCAAGGCCCUAGGACUCUAUAAUCAGCAGGCAGAGGAGCCUUUCCUCGUGGCCACCACCACCAGAGACUCAAGAGAGGUACUACCAGGCUAUCACAGAUAUUCACUUAAAGACCACAAGGGCUCUUCAGUCAGCCUGUGGUGAAGCCAUCAGGCCUGCGACUCACCCUUCAGGGCAAUGGGUUCCCCUUUGGCCCAGAACAUGUUGAGAAAUGCCACCCAAGAGCCAAGGCCUAGAAUCAGGGAAGUCAAUAGCCCUCUUUGUGCUCUACCCAAUGUGGCCAAGCUGGUGCCUGAAGCCAGCAUAUCUCAGAGACUCACCCAAGGCCCAUGACUAACUAUGUAGGUAUUGCUGCUGGUUCUUCAAGGCCCAAGGGCAUUUUUGUCAGCAGGUGAUUAAUCCUGCCAGACUGGCUUCUUUCCUUAAGGUAGCAAGUUCUCAUCUGGUCUAGGGUAUGUCUAGAUAUGUUGUUCAGGAGCUAGGGCCUGGAAUGGGGGACUCAUGACUCUUCCCAGUGCCCUAUCCUAAUAUGACUGACCUGGUAACCAAGAUGCAAGACAAAGUCCCCCUUACUCUUCUUUCCCUCCUCCUCUCCUCAAGUAAAAUAAAGGAGUCAUUUUUGUUGCUGCAAGCUGUGCUGCCUGGGUUUGUCGAGGGAGAGGCACAAGCAUUCCCUUAGUCACCCUGGCUGAUGUCCCAUAUCCACUAGCUCUGAGCCCAGUAUGCUGCUAGGACUUUUUAGAAAUUGCAAGUCCUUGUAGCCUAGACUGCAUUUCAAGCGUAUUUAGGACCCCAGAGCCCCUUAGCCCUCAUGGGCAAGGCUUCCCAAAACUCAAAUUCAACCACUGGGAUGGCUAACUCCCCUCUGGCUAAAGCUGGUCUAAACGAUCCCCCCUCCAUGUGUAGGCAUCAGCUGAGUUUAGCCAUGUUUUCCUUUCUGCUGUGACAGAGCAGCACUUCAUUCACCACACUCUCCCUCACCCAAACACAUAGAUUCUCCUUGCCACAUGGCCACUGUUGGGAGUAUGGAAGAAGGGUGGCAUCAGUAAUUUAAGGCUGUUUUCCCUACCCUCUUCAGUGCCUCUUUUAGUGAUAUGAAGUUAAAACCAGGUAUUGUGAUACCUCACAUAAUUUUUCAUUCUUGUGUAUGUGCUUUUUUGUGUAGAUGUUAUAUUGGUGUUCCUAUGGGAGGGAUGAUCAAUGAAGGCUUCUAUUAGGCCAUCUUGCUCUGUCCUCUCCAUCUAGAUAUGUUUAGAUACACAGAUAUUUAACAUUGUGUUAAAAUUGCAUACACUAUAAACUCCACUUAAAACUGAUUAAAGUCUCAUUCUUG